rnacentral:rRNA from 1 species
UACGGAGGGUGCAAGCGUUAUCCGGAUUCACUGGGUUUAAAGGGUGCGUAGGUGGGUUGGUAAGUCAGUGGUGAAAUCUCCGUGCUUAACAUGGAAACUGCCAUUGAUACUACUGGUCCUUGAAUUUUCCGGAGGUAAGCGGAAUAUGUCAUGUAGCGGUGAAAUGCUUAGAUAUGACAUAGAACACCAAUUGCGAAGGCAGCUUACUACAGGGAACAUUGACACUGAGGCACGAAAGCGUGGGGAUCGAAACAG